rnacentral:lncRNA from 1 species
UUUUUUUAAAAUAAUAAAUUUAUAAUAUACUAAAAUGAAUAAUUAAUAUCUUACAAAAAAUUAAAAUAAAAUAAAUCAUAUCAUCAUCGGAAUCGAAAACCUCAUUAAUGUUAGGAUUAUCGUCAUCUUCGUCAUCCAUCUGUUCUUGACCACCAACUCCUUCAUUUUCACCAAACGAUUGAUUACCGCUCUUUCGUGAUUGCAUAAAUUGUCG